rnacentral:rRNA from 1 species
ACUCAAAUGAAUUGACGGGGGCCCGCACAAGCGGUGGAGCAUGUGGUUUAAUUCGACGCAACGCGAAGAACCUUACCGGGAUUUGACAUCCCCUGCUCACGCAGGAGACUGCGUUUUUCAUCUUCGGAUGAACAGGGAGACAGGUGGUGCAUGGUUGUCGUCAGCUCGUGUCGUGAGAUGUUGGGUUAAGUCCCGCAACGAGCGCAACCCUUAUUCUUAGUUGCCAGCAUUUCGGAUGGGUACUUUAAGAAGACUGCCGGUGAUAAACCGGAGGAAGGUGGGGAUGACGUCAAAUCAUCAUGCCCUUUAUGUCCCGGGCUACACACGUGCUACAAUGGCCUGUACAACGGGUAGCGAAAUCGCAAGAUGGAGCCAAUCCCCUAAAGCAGGUCUCAGUUCGGAUUGCAGGCUGCAACUCGCCUGCAUGAAGCAGGAAUCGCUAGUAAUCGCGGAUCAGCAUGCCGCGGUGAAUACGUUCCCGGGCCUUGUACACACCGCCCGU